rnacentral:rRNA from 1 species
AUACAGGGCUACUUCUAGUCUUGUAAUUGGAAUGAGUACAACUUACAUCUCUUCACGAGGAUCAAUUGGAGGGCAAGUCUGGUGCCAGCAGCCGCGGUAAUUCCAGCUCCAAUAGCGUAUAUUAAAGUUGUUGCAGUUAAAAAGCUCGUAGUCGGAUUUCGGGUCGGGCCGAGCGGUCUGCCGAUGGGUAUGCACUGUUUGGCGCGGCCUUCUUUCCGGAGACCGCGGCUACUCUUAACUGAGCGGGCGUGGGAGACGGAUCGUUUACUUUGAAAAAAUCAGAGUGUUUCAAGCAGGCAGCUCGCUCUUGCAUGGAUUAGCAUGGGAUAAUUGAAUAGGACUCUGGUGCUAUUUUGUUGGUUUCGAACACCGGAGUAAUGAUUAACAGGGACAGUCAGGGGCACUCGUAUUCCGUCGAGAGAGGUGAAAUUCUCAGACCAAUGGAAGACGAACCACUGCGAAAGCAUUUGCCAGGGAUGUUUUCACUGAUCAAGAACAAAAGUUAGGGGAUCGAAGACGAUCAGAUACCGUCGUAGUCUUAACCAUAAACCAUGCCGACUAGGGAUUGGAGGGUGUUCGUUUCGACCUCUUCAGCACCUUACGGGAAACUAAAGUCUUUGGGUUCCGGGGGGAGUAUGGUCGCAAGGCUGAAACUUAAAGGAAUUGACGGAAGGGCACCACCAGGAGUGGAGCCUGCGGCUUAAUUUGACUCAACACGGGGAAACUUACCAGGUCCAGACAUUGUUAGGAUUGACAGAUUGAGAGCUCUUUCUUGAUUCGAUGGGUGGUGGUGCAUGGCCGUUCUUAGUUGGUGGAGUGAUUUGUCUGGUUAAUUCCGUUAACGAACGAGACCGUAGCCUGCUAAAUAGUUCCGCGAACUUCUUGUUGGCGGUCGACUUCUUAGAGGGACAACUUGUGACCAACAAGUGGAAGUUUGCGGCAAUAACAGGUCUGUGACGCCCUUAGAUGUUCUGGGCCGCACGCGCGCUACACUGAAGCACUCAACGAGUCCACCUCGACCGACAGGUCUGGGAAACCUUUUGAAAUUGCUUCGUGAUGGGGAUAGAUUAUUGCAA